UACGGGGGGAGCAAGCGUUGUUCGGAUUUACUGGGCGUAAAGGGCGCGUAGGCGGUAGCACAAGUCAGUUGUGAAAUCUCCGGGCUUAACUCGGAAAGGUCAACUGAUACUGUGCGACUAGAGUGCAGAAGGGGCAACUGGAAUUCUCGGUGUAGCGGUGAAAUGCGUAGAUAUCGAGAGGAACACCUGCGGCGAAGGCGGGUUGCUGGGCUGACACGUGACGCUGGAGGCGCGAAAGCCAGGGGAGCGAACGGG
rnacentral:rRNA from 1 species